rnacentral:rRNA from 1 species
UGCGGUGCAUUAGCUAGUUGGUAGGGUAACGGCCUACCAAGGCGAUGAUGCAUAGCCCGAGUUGUAGAGACUGAUCGGCCACAUUGGGACGUGAGACACGGCCCAAACUACCUACGGGAGGCAGCAGUAGGGAAUCUUCCACAAUGGACGCAAGUCUGAUGGAGCAACGCCGCGUGAGUGAAGAAGGGUUUCGGCUCGUAAAGCUCUGUUGUUGGUGAAGAAGGACAGGGGUAGUAACUGACCUUUGUUUGACGGUAAUCAAUUAGAAAGUCACGGCUAACUACGUGCCAGCAGCCGCGGUAAU